GACGAACGCUGGCGGCGUGCUUAACACAUGCAAGUCGAACGCUGAAGCUCAGCUUUUGUUGGGUGGAUGAGUGGCGAACGGGUGAGUAACACGUGAGUAACCUGCCCCCUUCUUUGGGAUAACGCCCGGAAACGGGUGCUAAUACUGGAUAUUCACUGGUCUUCGCAUGGGGGUUGGUGUAAAGGGUUUUUCUGGUGGGGGAUGGGCUCGCGGCCUAUCAGCUUGUUGGUGGGGUGAUGGCCUACCAAGGCUUUGACGGGUAGCCGGCCUGAGAGGGUGACCGGUCACAUUGGGACGGAGAUACGGCCCAGACUCCUACGGGAGGCAGCAGUGGGGAAUAUUGCACAAUGGGCGCAAGCCUGAUGCAGCGACGCCGAGUGAGGGAUGGAGGCCUUCGGGUUGUGAACCUCUUUCGCUCAUGGUCAAGCCGCAACGAUGGUUGUGGUGAGGGUAGUGGGUAAAGAAGCGCCGGCUAACUACGUG
rnacentral:rRNA from 1 species